AAUACCCCUAAUGCGCCUUGAAAUGAGGAACACAAAAGUCACGUGUACACAAAAAAUCUCUGUGUAGUGAUAUUUGACACAUUUCUAUGAUAAACAAAUAACUGAGCUGAACCAUUAGUGUUAAUUUAGAAAAUAAGGGAACACAGAAUAAAUGUGUAAUAACCAUGGAGCUAUGAAAUGUGUUCAAAGUAUUAAAAUUUCAAAGAACUUAUUGUGUUAAAAUUGGGAUUUUUUACCAUGAGGAGCGACAUCGCAAAAGGAUACUCGGGGUUUGCUAAAUUACGGAAAAAUGAAUCACACUUCGUACCCCGAAAAUUUAACCACAUAUGUAAAAAUGUCUCAGCUUCGAAACAAGCCAUCAUACAUAUACAAGUUUACGAUAUGGGCUGAGCAACAGAAGAAAACGUUACCAUUACGGCCUAUGGAAUAACAAUUGCGCAUAUUGCCCCAUCUUGUGAGCUAGGAUCCAGAGAUGUCUUAAGCUAAUUUCACCUUGUACACCACAGAAAAUUGUUAAAAUGAUGUUCCAGACAUAUCAUUACUUUUAAAUAUGAGAUGACAAACUAAAGGUUUUAAAAAGUCCUGAAUAACUGAAAUGGACAAAAAUACACAGAUUUAUUCAGAAUGUCAUACCGAUGAAGAUCAUCUAAAAAUAUUUGGAAAAAUCAGAACUAUGGAUUUCAAUAUGGGACAAUACCCCUAAUGCGCCUUGAAAUGAGGAACACAAAAGUCACGUGUACACAAAAAAUCUCUGUGUAGUGAUAUUUGACACAUUUCUAUGAUAAACAAAUAACUGAGCUGAACCAUUAGUGUUAAUUUAGAAAAUAAGGGAACACAGAAUAAAUGUGUAAUAACCAUGGAGCUAUGAAAUGUGUUCAAAGUAUUAAAAUUUCAAAGAACUUAUUGUGUUAAAAUUGGGAUUUUUUACCAUGAGGAGCGACAUCGCAAAAGGAUACUCGGGGUUUGCUAAAUUACGGAAAAAUGAAUCACACUUCGUACCCCGAAAAUUUAACCACAUAUGUAAAAAUGUCUCAGCUUCGAAACAAGCCAUCAUACAUAUACAAGUUUACGAUAUGGGCUGAGCAACAGAAGAAAACGUUACCAUUACGGCCUAUGGAAUAACAAUUGCGCAUAUUGCCC